UGUGAACAAGGUUCCUUGGCACGUGCACCACAACUAGAACCAGAUCUGGCACAGCGGAGCUCCUCUUCUGGAAGAUUGUUCCUGCCUCACAAGAUAAUAAUAUUCCAUUGUGCCACUGUGUUGGCAUCUCUGUAGACAAUGCAGCCAUGAACAUCGGACAACACAGAAUUCUACAGAAAAACAGUAGUGUUUAUGUACAUGGUUGCCAACGUCAUGUUUUACACAACACUGCAAAACAAGCAGGUCUUGCCUUUGCUGAGGAGUCACUUUUUGACCUAGAGGAUGUGGUGGUUGAUGUGGACUUUUGGUUUAAAAGCAGCACCAAUUACAAGGGUUUUCUGGCAGAGUUUUGUGAGCUCUUUGAGUCAGAUUACAUGGAAAUCCUAGAGCAUGUCUCUGUGCAGUGGUUCGUUCUCAGAUUAUACGUGGCACUUGCGUAUUUAAA